rnacentral:lncRNA from 1 species
GCCAUUUCUUGGGCAGCUCCUGCGGCAUAUGGAGGUUCCCAGCCCUCAAAACCAACCAACCAACCAAACAAACAAACAAACACAAAGUACCUGAGUGUCUGUCUGUCCCAGCCUUUGCCACUGGACAAAGGGAAAGAGUAAGGGUGAGACAAACCAUCAAGGCAAUGAAGGGAGUCAGCUCCCCCCACCCUCCCCCACACUUGAGCAUAAGUCCAGGAGGCAGGCAGGGACAAGGCACCGGGUCCAAAGCCCCAUCCCACCCCCUAGCCCAACACGGAAGGAGUGUUCCAUUCAUAUCCGCUGGAUGACUGAACAAAUAAGUGAAUGAACACAUCCAAGACUAAACACAGGAUGAAUGAAUUAACAGUCAAAUGACUGAAUAGAUAAAUGAAUGAACAAAAGAUCAAACAAGUCACUGAAUGAAUGAAUGAAUGAAUGAACAACUGGAUGGAUGGAUGAAUGAAUGGGAAAAUAUGAGAGCAAACAAAUGAUCAGAUAAACAACCAAAUGAAUGAAAGAAAAAAUAAACAAAAAAGGAAUGAUGGAAGGAGGGGGGAGGAAGGGGGAAGAAGAGGACGAGCCGUGAGGGCAGCGGUCUGCACAGAGCAGCCCCCCCCCCAAGGCAGCGUGGUCCCUGGCCUGUCCCUCCAGCCCCAGCCCUUCCAGCGAAGCCCAGCGGAAGCUCACUAUGGCCUCCUCAGCAGGUCUAGAGCCCAGAGAGCCCCCUUGCUGGCAGCCUUGAAAGCUGGCGGGGCGGGGUGGGGGGGGCGCGGGCAGGUGGCCUUUGCCAAGCCCUCAGCCUCGUCUUUAACUAUUACAUUAAGCACCUGCUUUGCCAUUCACGGCUCAGAUAACAUUUUACCCCUGAGAUAUUUGAUUUUAUUACCUUCCAGGGAGAGGGCCAAGCAAGUGUUCUUAUUGAUUUGCACAUUAAAUAUAUUAGUAAUAAAACAACAUCUCCGUAAACCAAUUGUAAAAUCAAUAUUAAUUGGUACCAAAAUAUCACAAGUAGUUGAAUUACAAUUAAGAGAAGGGGUGAGACGUGCCUCCGGGCACAGGGUGCUGAGGUCCCAGCAGGGAGAGUGGCUGGAGGACCAGACCUGGGUUGGGCAGGCCUGGGUUCCCUUCUCUAAGCCUCAGUUUCCUCAUCUGCUCAAUAGGGACAAUCGCUCUAACAGCCAAAGUCUGGCGUGGAUUAAAUGAAGUCACGUGGGCCCAGUGCCUGGCAGCUGCGGUGCCCCAGAAGCACUCUCUUCCUCCCUUUGUCCUGGUCCCCACUGCAGAAAGAGGAAGUCAUUCCCCGAGUAAGAAAGGGCAGUGCUGGCAAUGGUGGGCGACAGGCACAAGCAGGGAAGGCAGGGAGAUCCGGGGUGGGAGGUGCACAAGUCUGAGAGGAGAGACUUAACGAAGGCCUGAAAGCCGGGAGAAGAGCUGGGGGAGGGGACUCAGUGUGUUGAAGGCAGGCCAGGGGCC